rnacentral:lncRNA from 1 species
CAAAUGGACUUGCAUAUGCCACUUGGUGCAUAACAUAUUGAGGCGUUCUCGAUGUAGGGAUCCUUGAACAGGGUUUGGAUGAUAACUCUACAAAUUGCUUAGACUGAGAGUGGAUCAAGUGUUGAAGUGAAAGGUAGGCAACACACGUGGGUACUGCUUGUGAAGUGGGUUGAGAGUGCUUCUUUCAUGUUUUUCACCAUUUGAAGGUGAAAAAAUGAUGAAGAGGGGAUAGCAUGGUUUGCCAUAUCGUGUCGAACUGGCCGGUACACCCCAUCUCGUACCGGACCGGCGGCAAACCAGCACGAUUCGAUCGGUAAAAUCGGUACACCGGCGGUACCGACGAAUAAAGAACGAAAAGUGAGAAAGAGAGA